rnacentral:rRNA from 1 species
CUGAACGCUGGCGGCGUGGCUAAGACAUGCAAGUCGUACGGGUGUAGCAAUACACCAGUGGCGAACGGGAGAGUAAUGAAUCGCUAACGUGCCCCGGACUCUGGGAUAGCUGCCCGAAAGGGCAGGUAAUACCAGAUGAGACCACAGUCAGGCAUCUGACGGUGCUCAAAGGUCCGCCAGUCUGGGAGCGGGCGAUUUCGUAUCAGCUAGUUGGUGAGGUAACGGCUCACCAAGGCAACGACGCGUAGCCGGACUGAGAGGUUGGCCGGCCUCAUUGGGACUGAGACACUGCCCAGACUCCUACGGGGGGCUGCAGUAACGAAUCUUCCGCAAUGCACGAAAGUGUGACGGAGCGACGCCGCGUGUGGGACGAAGCCCUUCGGGGUGUAAACCACUGUCAGGGGAUAGAAAGUUCUGAUCAUCCCCAGAGGAAGGCACGGCUAACUCUGUGCCAGCAGCCGCGGUAAGACAGAGGUGCCAAGCGUUAGGCGGAAUCACUGGGCUUAAAGCGUGUGUAGGCGGAUUGGUAAGUACCUUGUGAAAUCCCACGGCUCAACCGUGGAACUGCUUGGUAUACUGCCUGUCUUGAGCCAACUAGGGGCUAUCGGAACAAGUGGUGGAGCGGUGAAAUGCGUAGAUAUCACUUGGAACGCCAAUGGUGAAAACAGAUAGCUGGGGUUGUGCUGACGCUGAGACACGAAAGCCAGGGGAGCAAACGGGAUUAGAUACCCCGGUAGUCCUGGCUGUAAACGAUGUCGACUAGAUCGUAGCGCCUCUGACGGUGUUAUGGUCGAAGCAAAAGUGCUAAGUCGACCGCCUGGGAAGUACGGUCGCAAGGCUAAAACUCAAAGGAAUUGACGGGGGCUCACACAAGCGGUGGAGCAUGUGGUUUAAUUCGAAGCAACGCGCAGAACCUUACCUGGGCUUGACAUGCCAGGAUUAUCCCUAUGAAAGUAGGGUAGGCCCUUCGGGGUACAACUGGUACAGGUGCUGCAUGGCUGUCGUCAGCUCGUGUCGUGAGAUGUCGGGUUAAGUCCCUUAACGAGCGAAACCUUUGCCCUUAGUUACCAGCGGGUUAUGCCGGGGACUCUAAGGGGACUGCCGGUGUCAAACCGGAGGAAGGUGGAGAUGACGUCAAGUCCUCAUGGCCUUUAUGCCCAGGGCCACACACGUGCUACAAUGCGGCGCACAAAGCGAACCGAGAGCGCAAGCUGGAGGAAAUCGCACAAAUCGUCGCCCAGUUCAGAUUGGAGGCUGCAACUCGCCUCCAUGAAGUUGGAAUCGCUAGUAAUCGCGGAUCAGCUACGCCGCGGUGAAUGUGUUCCUGAGCCUUGUACACACCGCCCGUCAAGUCAUGGGAGCCGGAAAUAGCCGAAGCCGCCUCGAUACAGAGGUGUCUACGCUAGGUUCGGUGACUGGGACU